rnacentral:tRNA from 1 species
UGGCUUAGUUGGUACAGCAUGGUGCUUGCCACACCAGGAUCGUGGGUUCAAUUCCCAC